UCCCUCUCAGGGUCGCAACUGGAGAGUUUCCAGUACUCUACAAGUCUCGGCUACGGGAGGGAGUCAAGCAGAGGCCUACUCAUUCCAUUCCUAGCUGGGGCAGUGGUUAGCGAGUGGAAAGCAAUCUGCUACAAGU
rnacentral:snoRNA from 1 species